rnacentral:rRNA from 1 species
GAGUUUGAUCCUGGCUCAGGAUGAACGCUAGCGGCAGGCUUAACACAUGCAAGUCGAGGGGUAGUAUAGCAAUAUAUGAGACCGGCGCACGGGUGCGUAACGCGUAUGCAAUCUACCUUUUACAGGGGAAUAGCCCAGAGAAAUUUGGAUUAAUGCCCCAUGGUAUAAUUGAUUGGCAUCAAUUAAUUAUUAAAGUUCCAACGGUAAAAGAUGAGCAUGCGUCCCAUUAGCUAGUUGGUAUGGUAACGGCAUACCAAGGCGAUGAUGGGUAGGGGUCCUGAGAGGGAGAUCCCCCACACUGGUACUGAGACACGGACCAGACUCCUACGGGAGGCAGCAGUGAGGAAUAUUGGACAAUGGGCGCAAGCCUGAUCCAGCCAUGCCGCGUGCAGGAAGAAGCAUCUAUGGUGUGUAAACUGCUUUUAUACAGGAAGAAACACUCCCUCGUGAGGGAGCUUGACGG